rnacentral:rRNA from 1 species
UGGGGAAUAUUGCACAAUGGGCGAAAGCCUGAUGCAGCAACGCCGCGUGAGGGAAGACGGUUUUUCGGAUUGUAAACCUCUGUUUUCGGUGACGAACAAAUGACGGUAACCGAGUAGGAAGCCACGGCUAACUACGUGCCAGCAGCCGCGGUAAUACGUAGGUGGCAAGCGUUAUCCGGAAUUACUGGGUGUAAAGGGAGCGCAGGCGGGAUAGCAAGUCAGCUGUGAAAACUAUGGGCUCAACCCAUAAACUGCAGUUGAAACUGUUAUUCUUGAGUGGAGUAGAGGCAAGCGGAAUUCCGAGUGUAGCGGUGAAAUGCG